CGCUGAGGGACCGCGGGGAGCAGGAUGGAGGGACGGGAACACGCGGGGACGCGGGGCUGGGACGGGAGAGACCAGGGCAGGGAAGGCGUUGCAAUGUCCCCAUCCUCCUCCCGUUCCGCUUAAUGGCGUGCUCCCCAGCCCUGCUCCUUCACCAGCUCUGGGAAAAGAGUUUUUAACCCCAUCAUGAUAAUAAUGAUACACAAUGCCUGAUCAGGACAAAAAGUUGAAGAGCACAGCAAAAGCAAUAAAAACAAAAGCCUUCUGGGAUCUCUAUGAGGUGUAGUAUCUGACGUUUUACUUUGAACUUCAGUGGGACUCGUGUGGAAUUUACACUGGCUGCCAAAGCAGAAUGCUUCAAUUUGAAGUGCAGUAUAAACAUGACAACUGUUACUCUGGUCACAAAGUUUAUUUACACCUAUGUUGACUUAAGGCAUUCUGGAGAAGCUGUGAAUUCUGCUGUACGCAAAAGUGGACACCAGGCAACGCUAGAAAACUUUAUUUUCUGGAUUAUUCUGAUCUAA
rnacentral:lncRNA from 1 species